rnacentral:lncRNA from 1 species
UUUUCGGCGACCUCUUUCUCCUCCUUCUUGGUCUCAUAGCUUUUCGACUGGGAACAAAUUGACUAGGAUCAGAUUCUUGUGUCCUUAAUCAAUCGAUUUUGAUGCGAUAGAUUCCAAUUUUUUUUUCUUAGAGAUUUUAUUGGGUUUCAAAAUCAUGGAAAAAUUCUAGGGUUUGAGACACAAUGAAGGCCAUGUAGAGCUUGCAACAUCUGAUUGAAGAAGUAAAAGUUCGAACGGUUUGGUGGGGUUUGUGUAUAUUUGCUCUCUGUUACUUUUUAACACGUAAGUUCAAUUUCAAUUUCUUUUUUUUUUCACAUCAUGUAUCUUCUUAGUAGGAAAAUACACUGCCCAUUAAGGUCUUUCUGGGUACUCCGCUAGUUUUCAAUUUUUGCUCAUCUAAUUUAUGAUAAUUUGAUGCAUGUGUAAUUAUAUGGGAUUACUUUCACUGUUUUGAUCACAGUAAUAACAUACGUUUUUUGGCGUUCCUUUGAUCAAUGGCCAUGAAAAAACUUUUUUCUAAUUUAGUUUAAGUUGUAUACACGUAAGCAAAGAGAUCUUUGUCGGGUGAAGAGGGUGUGGUGGACAUUUACAUGGCUGGAGGUGAUGGAGGAGAAUGGAGUAUGGAGCGACGUUGGGUUGAAAAUAAUAUUUAUUUUUUAAUCCUGUCAAAGAUUGUCACGUUGUCCAAUUAAAAAUCACCAUGUCAUUAAAUGAAAGACCCAUCAGUUUCUCCGUUAGUCGCAGGGGUAUUUUUUUUAAUAGAAUUAACUUUAUAUUUUUUUUGACCUGAUAGAUGGACGGAGUGAAUUUUUUUGGACGGAUAGGUGGACGAAGGUUAUUUAUAAACCAUUUAGCAAACGAUAAGGAAAUUUGUUGGCCCUUUGUCAAUUUUAUAUUAUACAUCUCACCUAAUUUUACAAAGACUUCAUCAACCACUCUUCACCCUGCAAAACUGCUGGAUCUCCGGCACCUCACCAUAAGUUGCCCAAAAAGCUAUAUCUUCAGCUUCUCACAUCAAAUAAAAUUCCACCAUUAAAUAUCUGCUUCACCAUCUGAGAAUCUAUUAUUCUUAAAAUGAACGUUACCCAAACAAGAUUUAACACCAUCAAUAAACAUAGAUCUAAUGUCAUCUCAAAAAUAUUAAAUGUGGUUAUUCUUCAAAAAAGAUUUAUUACUUUUUUCUCAAAUAUGAAUUGAAAGUUUGGAAAAUGGGGAGGGAAAUAAUGGGAAAUGAAUAAGGAAAGAAUGAGAAAAGUGUUAUAAAAUGAAAGCAAUUUAGUAAAACAUGACAAGAAAUAUAAGCAACUUAGUAAAACAUGAACAAGAAAUGUAGAUAGAGAGAAGGAAGAGAUUUUCUUCUUCAAUUAUAUAUUUUACUAUCUAUUACAAGGCCUUUAUAUAGGCAUAAAAAGUGAAGAAAAUAUAUCAUGGAAUAUGUCAUUCAACAUACAAAAUAUGUCAUUGAAUAUGUCAUAAACUAUUUGAGAUAAAAAUCAUGGAACAAGAAUAGACAUCUACCAUAAAUUGCUAUUUAUCAUAACAAAAAGAAAAAUGAAGGAGAACAGGAAAUGGAGAAGGCUUGUGAAAAUGGUUGGGGAAAGAAGGGGAAAGGUGAAGGGUGGAAAGAGAAAAGGAAAUGGGCGUGGGGUGGGGUGGGGUGGAAAAAAGAAGAAAGAAGUCAAAGAACUGAUAUAUUUUGUUUUAUAUUUUUUUCACUUACUUUUACUUUUUAUUUUUUAUUCUUAUUUUAAUUAUUUUUAGUCUAAUUUUUUUAGGUUUACUCUCGUAAUACGCAUGAAAAGUAUACACAUUUUAUCCAAUUCGGUCAUGAAGUUGUCACAUAUGCUUGGCUAUCUAUCAGAGAGAUCUAUCAGAGAGAUGUAAAGUAAUAUAUUUUAAAAACUACAAGUGUCUGGAUUAGAUUUUAUAGAAUAUCAGGACGGAAUAAUAAAGCAAAAUAAGUAGCAGUGUUUAUUAGGCUAUUCUACCGAUAUAUAAAUAUAAUAUAUAUAGUUAGUUGCAAAUUAUUAUAAGGUGUUUAGUAGGUAAAAAGCAUCUUGGCAGUUUCAAAUGUCGAGGGAAGAAUCCCAUGCAUCACACGGAGAAUGUAAUUCUAUUGUUUAAUGUCCUUAAGGUCCAGUACCCUCUCACAUAUAAUCUUAUUGAUUACAACAACAAAAAUACAAUAUAAUCUUAUUUAGUGGGGUCUGGAAAGGGUAGUGUACACAGAAUGCUAUUUUCAAAUAGACCCCCGGCAUUCUUCCCUCCAAAAACUUCCCAUCUUGCUCUUGGGGAGACUCGAACUCACAACCUCUCGGUUGGAAGUGGGGGUUGCUUACCAUCAGAGCAACCCCUCUUGUCUAUAAUCUGAUUGAUUAUUAUCCAAAAUUUGCUGGAAUUGAAAAAAAAGGUUAACUUCGUUGUAAAUUGUAUACGUAAUAUUUACAAAACUCGUUUGCGUUGUCUUUAAAUUUGUAAGCUAAAUUUCUUAUACUAUGUUCUGGUUUAUAAAUGUGCAUUACUCUCUAGGCAUAGUCUAUUUUUGAUAUAAUCUUUGUCAAAAUAUAAUUAUAUAGUAAGAUGCUGAAAAUAUACUUAAAGAAGCAAUUUUUUUUUGUGGUAAUUAUCAUAUUUUAUUACUAAAGUAAGAAAUUACAGCUCAAAACAAAGCAAACUCACUCUGGACAUUCUCCUAGACUUAAUAUUCAUCAAUGUAACUCAUAUUCUUCUUACUGAUUAUUUAUUCACUAUUCUAUUUUACAUUUUCAGUAUUUAUCAUCCCUUAUGGAUAAAAGUUCAGCUUUUCAAGUCUUCUUUGUAGUCUCGGUAUCGUGUAUCCCCUUCCACUUAUCAUUUGUAUAGCUUGCUUGGUCAGUAGUCCCUCUGGUUUUUUUUAGCUUGGAAAAUUUUGUAGUUCCUCUCCUGCCAUACCUGAUAUACACAACUUGCUAGUGCUAUUCUAUAGUUGGAUUUGUUCAUCAGCAUUUCUAAGCAAUUUUUUGUAGAAUCCCACCACUUCCUCCUCCGCCUCUUUGUCAUUCUGUAGCAGCUUCCCAUCCUGAGUCAUUAGGCUUUUAAUGUGGUGUGUAGAAGUCCUACUCUUCAUACAAGCAUAGAAAUAAGCACUGUUGGAAUCCCCAAGUUUCAACCAUUUUGUUAUUGACUUUUAUCUCAAAAUGCUCUCCUCAAUCGGUACCCAUUUCUCUAGCUUUCCUCUUAAUUAUUUCUCAGUAUCAAACAUGUCAGUUGGAUGAUUUGGGUCUUGCAUCUUCUCUUGUGUUUCCUGCAGUUAUUUGCUUUUUGUUUGGACCGUUUCUCUGACUUUUUUGAAUUCGUCUGUAUGCAUCUUCUUCAGCUCUAUCUUCAUUGUUGUAAGUUUUUGCCAUAUUCUUUGAUAAUGGUAGAAAUAGAAUAAGAAUACUUAGACGGCCCUAAUACUAUUUUCUCAUUUUAACUCUUCUACUUGACAUAAUAAGUAUUAAUAAAUUCUUCCACAUAAGUGUAGUCAACACUAAAAUUAUACUCACAUAAUAAAAGUGUUUUUAUCUAAAAUUUGAGUGUUACUUCGACUCUCAAUUGCCUUUUUUAAGGUUUCUUUUGUUAAGUAUUUUAUGUAGGAAAACUGUAUACUUGAAAAUUGCCUUUUUUGCUUUUAUAUUCUAAAGCAAGCAAGUAGGACCCAUAAAACGAUAAAAUAGAUCUUUCAUAUGCAGCAUUCCAUAGUGGCAUGAGAUUCUUUUCUUUUUUGCGCAAACUCCUAAAUUUUGCCCGAAUUAUCUACUCAUCUAAAUGUGCACCUAGAAAAAAUAUUAGUUACACAUUAAUCUAUUUUUAGUUUUAAUUAUUCUUCUGAGCAUGGCUAUUUCAUAUUUGAUAAUUUUUAAUUAUCCUAUAGUAUGAGAUGACCUUUAGAAGGGCUAUCUGCUUUACUAUUUUGAAACUGUCAUUCUGAGAUUAAGAAUCUAUCUAUCUUAAGGCUUGAAGGUGCUCUUCACCCCUGGACCAAGUGUAGAAAGCUCCUUAUGGUGGCCAUUUUGAAGUUUCAACGUUUUCUGCCAUAGUAGCAUUGUCUUUCUUGAUACCGAUUAAGUCGUCCAUUUUCUUUUUCCUUUGUUUCUUCUUUUAGGAUCAUUUGGUGGAGGAGGAGGUGGAGGACCUCUUGAUCUAUUAUGAUAUGCGGAUGAUGUCAGUAUGCACGAACCAACCUUCAAGGAAUGGAAAUAAAAAUAAAAAAAAAAAGGUAACCAAUUCAGUAAGCGCUAUUCUAAGAAUGCUUGAAAUAUUAAAUAUGUUUUGCAAAAUCACAUAAUAAAUCGCGUCCUAAUUUGGGGGACCUCGUUGUGCCCGAGGUAGGCCUAAGUGACACAUAGACUUUGUAGCUACCCGACUGGUCGUUUUAAGCUCUAGCAUGUCGUUCAGCGGUCUGAGGCUAUGAUUGGCUUCAUUUCACGUAUCAGAGUUAAAUUUCAAUGAAAAUUCUCAUUUCAGAAACCUUAAGUUGGAGUAAAUGGCUAAGGUUUGGAAUUUCGAGUAAACGACCUCGGAAUCAAGAUCUAAAAGUUCCAGCAGGUUUGUAUAAUAAUUUCGAACUUGGGCUUAUGCCCAGAUUGGGUUUUGGAUGACCAGGGAGCGUUUUGUCGCCUAUUGUGGAAGUUGGCAUUUUGGAAGAAAUUUCGUAAGUUUGAUUUCAAAGGCGGAUCUAGGAUUUCAGGAGGAUGUGUGCAUCGCUAUCCGGCCACCGUUUGAUUUGGUUCUCUAAAACUUACCUUGGAGAACUAUCAAUAAUAGAAUAAUUAUUUAUAGUUACACGUACCAUGCACAAUAUACUAAAAUUAAAUAACUAAUCAAAAAGAGAGUGGUAAAUGAAAAAAGAGGAAAUUUGAAAUUGAAAAGAUUCAAAAUAAUAUAAAUUUUAUUAUUUAUAGUUUUUGAAACUCAAUGAUUGAACUUAAAAAUAGAAUGAAAAAAACACAGAAAAGAAUCCAAUAAGAAUGUAAAUUUAAUUCAAGGACAAAAUGCAUGGGAAAGAGAAUAUAUAUAUAUAUAUAUAUAUUGAAUUCGUCUGUAUGCAUCUUCUUCAGCUCUAUCUUCAUUGUUGUAAGUUUUUGCCAUAUUCUUUGAUAAUGGUAGAAAUAGAAUAAGAAUACUUAGACGGCCCUAAUACUAUUUUCUCAUUUUAACUCUUCUACUUGACAUAAUAAGUAUUAAUAAAUUCUUCCACAUAAGUGUAGUCAACACUAAAAUUAUACUCACAUAAUAAAAGUGUUUUUAUCUAAAAUUUGAGUGUUACUUCGACUCUCAAUUGCCUUUUUUAAGGUUUCUUUUGUUAAGUAUUUUAUGUAGGAAAACUGUAUACUUGAAAAUUGCCUUUUUUGCUUUUAUAUUCUAAAGCAAGCAAGUAGGACCCAUAAAACGAUAAAAUAGAUCUUUCAUAUGCAGCAUUCCAUAGUGGCAUGAGAUUCUUUUCUUUUUUGCGCAAACUCCUAAAUUUUGCCCGAAUUAUCUACUCAUCUAAAUGUGCACCUAGAAAAAAUAUUAGUUACACAUUAAUCUAUUUUUAGUUUUAAUUAUUCUUCUGAGCAUGGCUAUUUCAUAUUUGAUAAUUUUUAAUUAUCCUAUAGUAUGAGAUGACCUUUAGAAGGGCUAUCUGCUUUACUAUUUUGAAACUGUCAUUCUGAGAUUAAGAAUCUAUCUAUCUUAAGGCUUGAAGGUGCUCUUCACCCCUGGACCAAGUGUAGAAAGCUCCUUAUGGUAAAUAUAAAAGAAAUAGGAAAUUGGAUAAGAGGAUUUAAGAUAUAGAAGUGGGAUUCGAACACUAGACCUAGGUAAAAUUGUGCACAAAGCUAUCACUAUACCAAAUACUCUUUUGACCAUGGGAUCCCACGCGAAAUUUUAGGUACUUUGUCCAAACAUUAUCCAUGUGAUACACAGCCUAACGAGGGGAGCAUGGGUACACGUGCCCCAUGCCCCUCCAUGUAGAUUCGCCUCAGUUUGGUUUGAAGUGCAUUUCAGUAUUAUCGAUGUCCGUUUGGAAUUUCAAGACUAGGAGUAGCUCUGUAUGAUGAUUCUGGAGUUGGGAGCGCGAUCAGAAAUGAUUUUAAAGACCUGUGGGUCAUUUUGGAGCCAUUUGGCUAAAGAAAGUAAUUUUAAGGUUUUUGAGAAGUUUAACCGGAAGUGGACUUUUUGAUAUCAGGGUUGAAAUCCAAUUCUGGAAGCUGGAAUAGGUCUGCAAUGUCAAAUAUGACUUGUAUGCAAAAUUUGAGGUCAAUCGGACAUGAUUUGAUAUGUUUAAACAACGGAAGUAGAAGUUAGAAAGUUCAAAGUUCAUAAAGCUUGAAUCGGGAUGUAAUUCAUGGCUUUAGCAUUGUUCAAUAUGAUUUGAGGCCUCGAGCAAGUCCGUAAUGUAUUUUGGGAUUGGUUGGUAGGUUUGGCUGAGGCCCGGGGGCCUCGGGUGAAUUUCGGAUGGUAAACGAAUCGAAAAUGAAUUUUUGGGAAGGCUAAGGUUUGUUGGUUGUGGUAUUUCCACUUCUGCAGAAAUGGACCCGCAGAAGCGGCUGGAGGUGAUGGGAGCUGGGACCGCAAAUGCGGUCAUUUUACCGCAGAUGCGGGACCGCACCUGCGGAGGAUGGAGCGCAGAAGCGAAAAGGGGGAGACCUAGUGAGGACCGCAGAUGCGGUAUUGGGAUCGUAGAAGCGGUUUGGGAGCCGCAGUUGCGGAAAGAUCCGGGCAGAAUGUUGUUCCAAAAUCUAAUUUUGGCCAUUUCUCAUUGUAUUUUUCUUGGCUUGGGGCGAUUCUUGGAAGAUUUUUAGAGUGGAUUUUCAUCAUCAAUGGUAAGGUAAGUUAUCCCCCACCUAUUUUGAGUUAAAUACAUAAAUUAUGUAUAGAUUUGAACUUGAAAAUUGUAGAAAAAUUUGGAGUUUGACGAAAGACCUAGAAAAGGAUUAUUCUUGGAACUUAACCAUGAUUCCGGGAAUUGAAUUAGUGAAAAUUAUAUAUUUGAGUUCUAAGGUCAUGGGUAAACUUUAUCUUCAAAAAAAUUUAGAUUUUUGCGUGGGCCCAAGGGCAUUUUUAUAAACUUUUUAAUCAGGAUUAGCAAUUGUUAUAAAUUGGAUUAUAAUUAGUAACGUAGCAUAUAUUAAUGGAUUUCUAUAACCAUUGGCUAGUUUUGGAGCGUGUGCAUCGGUUCAAGCCUUCGGAAGAAUGUAGAAUGCCGGUCAUGGGUCUUCGGAGCGAGGUGAGUCUCAUUUCUAACCUUGUGAGAAGGAAUUAUCCCCAUAGAUGAGUUAAUUGGUUAUGUGCUCCAAUCUGUAGGGGCUACGUACGCACGAGGUGGCGAGAGUCCGUGCGUAGCUACUAUUAUGCUAUUCUCCGAGUAGACUAGGACCCAAUAGCAUGCUAUACUUGGGAUAUUUGCAAUCUUAUUGACAUUUGAAUUGUUAAAAUAAAAUUGAACUAGUAAAUGAAUUUCAAAAAGGAUUAGACUUUAUUUUCUUAAAUUGUUAAAAGAGGAUUUGGUUUUUAUAUAGGAUGUUCUUCGAUAAUUCUUAGUUGACUGUUUGAGCAUGUAUUCAUGUGUGUACCUGCGUCACGUGGAUGAUUCGCGAGAAGGGUAUUUGUUUACUUUAUGUUGACCGCGUCGAAUGGAUGAUUCGCAAGCGGGGGAAAUAGAUGCAUCUAUUGGUUCGGGUGGUUCGGCCCUCGGCAGUGCACAGUUUAUAUUUUUGUUGGAUUGGGCCGUCGCCUUGGCAUGAUAUGCGCAUGUUUAUAUUGCUUACUUGAAAUAUAUGAUGUUGAUAUUGCCUUUUGGACUGACAUAAAUUGCUGGAUAAAUGGAAAGAAAUCCUAAAAAUCCUUUGUUAUUUGCUAAAGGUGUUUAUUUGUUUUGCAGCUUUAUGAACCAGAGCAUGCUAUAUAAAUCCAUGACUUUCUCACAUUUUAUUAUACUAUUACUGGACUAUUAGUAAGUGUCAAAGUUGGCCAUCUCGUCCAUACUUCUUCGAGAUUAGGCGGGAUACUCAUUGGG